rnacentral:rRNA from 1 species
UGGGGGAUAUUGCACAAUGGGCGAAAGCCUGAUGCAGCGACGCCGCGUGAGGGAAGACGGUUUUCGGAUUGUAAACCUCUGUCGAGGGGGACGAAGGAAGUGACGGUACCCCUUGAGGAAGCCACGGCUAACUACGUGCCAGCAGCCGCGGUAAUACGUAGGUGGCAAGCGUUGUCCGGAAUUACUGGGUGUAAAGGGAGCGUAGGCGGGGAUGCAAGUUGAAUGUAUAAACGGCCGGCUCAACCGGCCGAAGCGUUCAAAACUGCAUUUCUUGAGUGGAGUAGAGGCAGGCGGAAUUCCUAGUGUAGCGGUGAAAUGCGUAGAUAUUAGGAGGAACACCAGUGGCGAAGGCGGCCUGCUGGGCUCUAACUGACGCUGAGGCUCGAAAGCGUGGGUAGCAAACAGG